CUGGAGGCGCUGCGCUGGCGGGUGCUGCAGCUGCUGGGCGCGCUGGCCGCCGCUGGCCUAGUGCCCGACGCCGACGCCGAGCUGGUCGCCUGGAGCCGGAGCCGUGUGCUCCGCCUGGCCGUGCCCUUCCACGACCUGAAGCCUACCCUCUGGCUGGAGGAGUUCCUGCCGCGAGUGGUGCACCUGGCGCUCUCCUCCGGUCACGCGCAGGCCACGGCCUCCGCCUGCGAACUGCUGCACGCCAUCACCAUCUUCACGCUGGGCAAAGGCGCCACGAGCUCUGCCGAUGGCGGGUGGCUGCGGCCCGUGUACGCCCGCCUGCUGCCGGCGCUGGUGCGGCUGGCCGCCAGCCCGGACCUGGUGGUGCGCCAGCUGUUCGGGCCGCUGCUCACGCAGA